UAUUAUCCAUUUUAUAAUAUUAAUCAUGUCAUAAUUAAAAGAUAUUUUCCCAAUUCAAAUAGGUCUUAUCCUUUUAUAUAGUUAAUUCAAAUAGGUUACCUAACGUGUAUUAGCUCAAUUGCUGUCAUUUAACUAUUUAUGAAGUAACCCGCUAUGAAUACGUUAUAGGUGUUACAAAAAUUGCACCCAUUAAUUUGUUAUUUGCUUUAUACCUAGAAAUACUAACGUUUUUUGUGUUGUGGGUUUUCCUUUUGCAGAGGUUUCUUCUCACUUAGGCUAUGAUACAUUGGAUGCAGUUGCCAAAGAUAAUAUAAUUUAGAGGUAAAAUAAAAAAAUUCAUAAAUUCUCUUAUUUUAUGGUGAUUUUAGACACUGAAGAAGCUGAAGAGAUUGCAAUGAGUAAAGAAUUGACGGAAUUAGCUGCAAGACCAUUUUAGUCUCUAUCACCACCAAUUGCAAUAAUCUUGGUCAGUUUUUAUCAAUAUUGUUCACAUGAAUGUUGAUGAUUUGUUUUAAUUUCAUUAUGCUAAUUAACAAUACUAGAGAUUCAUAUGUUAGUUACUUAUUUAGAAAAGCUUAUUCUUUAGGUUUUAUACUUCUUGCUAUCAAGGGCGCAUCUAGGAUUUAAACUCUAUGGAUCUUAAUUUUUUUUUAGCAUUGAACCAUUGUAUUUUGAAGUUAUAGUUUUAUAUCUACUAUUAUUAUAAUUUUAGUCAUUUUAUCCACAUAAAUAUAUGCUCCAAAUUGAAAGUUAUGGAUUCAAUUGAACCCCCACAUAUAAUUUAAAUGUGUCUCUGCUUGCUGUUUUUAAAUGAAGACAAACCGAGACAAUCAAAUUAAACUAUAUAUCAAGUUACUUUAUCAAAUUAUUAACUUUGAUUUCCUUCAUAAAUUUCAAGCUUUGCAUUGUUGAUUUUUACAUGAAUAGCAAUGACAACAGUCUUGAACGUAUUAGCAACAACUCAAGCUGAAUCCUUUCCUGCAACAACACUAGCCAGGAUUUCAUACUUUGAAGUUGAAAGGGCAACUCAAGGGUUCGACCAAUGCAACUUGCUAGGCUGUGCAGGUUAUGGCUCUGUUUACAAGGGCAUCUUUGCAAAUGGGAUGGUUAGGGCAAUCAAAGUGUUUAAUUUACAGAUAGAAGGUGCAUUCAAGAGUUUUGAUUCUGAAUGCGAAGUUCUACCCAACCUUCGCCAUAGGAAUCUUACCAAAGUUAUCACCAGUUGUACAAACUUGGAUUUUAAAGCUUUACUUCUAGAGUACAUGCCCAAUGAAAGCCUGGAGCAGUGGUUACAUUCUGAUGGUUACUUCUUGAACAUGAUCCAAGGAUUAGACAUAAUGAUCGAUGUUGCAUCUACUUUGGAAUAUCUCCAUCAUGGUUAUGUAACAGUUGUUGUACAUAGUGACUUAAAGCCUAGAAAUGUCUUGCUAGAUGAAAGACAGGUUGGACAUGUGAGUGACUUUUGCCAGGCGAAGUUAUUAGGAGAAGGGGAAUCUAUUGCUCAUACUAAAACACUUGCAACGAUGGGCUACAUCGCACGGGAGUACGGAACAGUAGGAUUAGUUUCUAGAAGAUGUGAUGUGUAUAGCUAUGGGAUAAUGGUCAUGGAGACUUUCACAAGAAAAAAGCCAUAUGAUGAAAUGUUUAAAGAAAAUUUGAGCAUGAGGAGUUGGGUCUAUAAUUUGCUACAUGCAGCACUAGAGGAGAUUAUUGAUGUCACAUUAAUGGAACCAGAAGAGAUUGAUUUCCAGAAAAAGUUGCAUUGUGUGUCCUCUAUUUUGGAGUUGGCAUUGCAUUGUACAACUGAAACUCCCAAUGAAAGAUUGAACAUGAAAGAAGUCCUGGCAAAUAUCAAGAAGACCAAACUGGAAUUCCUUCGCAAAUGAUGUAGCAAGGUUCAUGUGAAGGUAAAUAUCCAACUUUCUCAGAUAUUCGAUGAAUUUUUUCCUUAUUUAGGAAUAGAAUGGAUUAUUGUCUUGUUUGUACCAUAUAUAAAUGUUGAACUGGGUAAUUUUUUUCAUACAAAUAUAUACCCCUGAAGUAAAAAGAGAAAAGAAGAAGAAGAAGAGGAGAAUUGGAUUGGAGGACAACUUCUUUAAGAGUCUAGUUUAAGAAGGAGAAUAAAUGGAAAACAAAGACCAGUGAAAUUGAAAAAGAAACUUUAGUUCAAUAAAUUCAAGAGUUCAAAAGAACAAGGGAAAAUAAGAAAAGAAAUUGAGGUCUAAUGCAAAUGGUGUAGGGAAAUAGGUAUCUUGAUAUAUUAUACUGAUAGACUCAGGUCUUUUCCUAUUUCUCAAUUGGUCUUCUGCUCAAGGCCAACUCAAGUUUGAUCCCAAUUAAUAUUUUUAAAGGUAGGGAUGCCUCUUCCACCUGGUGUUAGGAAAUUUGGAUGACCCCAAUUGAGAUGACAACCACCAUUUGGUCCGAGAUUUAAACUUUUAUUAUUUAUUGUGCUCUCAUCUCGUGUACGAUUUCAAGUUUGAGUAUAUGUGUGUGUCAAAUAACUUUUAUAUAAAGAUGUGUACUAAUGGUAUGGCAGGAUGCCUAGUAUAAUGUUAUUAAUGAUCAUUAUUCCUAGAUAUCAAGUUUAGGAGUCCUUUAAUUUAAUACUGUGGUUCAGUAUAUUCGUGGAUAAUUCAAAAACCUAAUAUUCUCACUGAGAGGAGACUGCACCUCUUUUUUCUUGAAAUCUUGUGACAACUAAUAGUAGAAGAAGAAUUGGUACUUAUCUCUUGUGAAUGUUUCAACUGUAUAUGUCUGUCAAAUGAAUUCAACUCAUAAGGAUCAUAUUAAAGUUUUAAUUAAUUAAGGAAUCCCUAAUAUAAUAUUAAUGAUUGCAAUCAUGUGGAUGUCAACUUCAAGAGCCUGCUAAGAGACCGGCAAAAUGUUUAGCCUAGAAAACACCUUGACUUUGUUUUCUUUUUGUCCUUUUUCCUCAUUGGAGACUUUAGCUCUCACAUAUAAUGAAUUACAAUAUGCCACCGUCUUCAAAGACAAGAUCAUAUCAAUAGAUUAGAAGGUGAAAUUCCAAAUAAAGGAGAAGCAAAGUGCGGCGAUUUGCUUUUCCAGCCUUGUAUGACUAUGUCUUUUCAUCAUUCAAGGAGAAGUAAAGUGCUUCUCAUAAUACUUGUCCUGUUGGGAGCUUCACUAAUGGUAGUUGGAUCAAUCGUUGUGUUUAUGUUAAGGAGACGUCGGAAUAGAAAUGUUCCAACUCAAGCUGAAUCCUUACCUACAACAAUGAUAUUAGCCAGGAUUUCAUAUAUUUAAAUUGAAAGGGCAACUCGAGGGUUCGACCAAUGCAACUUGCUAGGUCGUGGAGGUUUUGGCUCUGUUUACAAGAGCAUCUUUUCAAAUGGGAUGACUUUGGGAAUCAAAGAGUUUAAUUGACAGGUUGAAGGUGCAUUCAAAAGUUCUGAUUUACGCAACCUUCGGCAGAGAAAUAUUACCAAAGUUAUCAGCAGUUGUGCUAACAUGGAUUUUAAAGCACGACUUCUAGAGUACAUGCCCAAUGGAAGCCCGGAGCAAUGGUCACAUUCUGAUGAUUACUUCUUGAAUAUGACCCAAAGAUUAGACAUAAUGAUCGAUGUUGCAUUUGCUUUGGAAUAUCUCCACCAUGGUUAUGCAACAGUUGUUGUACAUAGUGACUUGAAGCCUAGCAAUGUCUUGCUAGACGAAAGUUGGUUGGACAUGUGAGUGACUUUAGCCAGACCAAAUUAUUAGGAGACGGGGAAUCAAUUGCUCAUACUAAUACACUUGCUACAGUGAGCUAUAUUGCACCAGGUAGUGCUGCCUUCUCUUCCUGGCGUUAGCAAAUUUGGGUGACCCCAAGUGAGAUGAUAACCAACACUUGGUCCGAGAUUAGGACGUUCUUGUUUCUCUUGUGCUUUUCUCUUGUGCAUAUUUUGAGUGUGGUGUGUGUGUGUGUCAAAUAAUUUUUACAUAUAAGAUAUGUACUAAAGUUGGCAUGGAGAAUGCCUUGUAUAAUAUUGAUGAUCAUUAUUAUGUAGAUAUCAGCUUCAAAAAUCAAUGGAGAGUAGUAGUGUAAAAUGCUCAACUACCAGCUAGGCUCUUUUGGUUACCAAGAUGAAUGGAGGUGUCCCAGUGACUGUAGAUUUAA